rnacentral:lncRNA from 1 species
UAUGUGGAGGGUGCCAGGCAUCUCUUCCUGGGGUCUCUAGGUUGCUUGAAGAUUCACAAGGAACCAACUGUAAGCCUUAUUUUAAUUGUAAAGCAAGUAGGUCUACAUUAUUGAGAAGAAUGUAAAUUUGCGUGAGUUGUAAAGAACAAAAGUCCAGCUCUUUGGCCAUUUGGAGCUGGACCCCAGGUGUUCACCUUUGCUGUCGGAGGUUGGACCCAUUGCUCUGCAGGGAGCUGGUCCAGGGACACUUGGAGAUGAUGUGUCCCCAGGGGUGUGUGCCUGGAGGACCAAUCCAGGGGGAAGCCUUCCUGGGCUGCCCCCUGUCACCGCAGGGUCUCUGGGGGAACUGUCAACUUGCCCACGUGACACGUUCAUUUCCCUUUUCAUGCUGGGUGAGUGACGGUCGGUGGGGGCAGAAGGUGGGACACAUGAGGAUGCAUAAGUACAGAGUUUAAAAAUGGAAAUCAGUUUUGAACUUCCUGGCUCUUGUUCAAAACAGCAGUGAGCUCCCGUGUGGGCUGCCUUGCUAAAGGUCACACCCCCUCCCGGCUGAGCACGAGAGACCUUGUGACACCACAUGACCCUAGAAGGCAGAAGCACCAAAGUCAGCCCGGGGUCUUGGGAGCUGUAGUCAGCUGGGUCAGAAGGGACCCCGGGGGUCUGGGCUGCUCCUGUCUGCGGGGAAGGGACAGCAUUAAUUCAGAUGUAAAAGUUCUACGACUAUGGGCUGGCCAAGUUACCCUCAUUCUAUCUAUGAAAAGAGUUUGCUAAAGCAAAUUAAUGCUAUGAACAAAAAUUACAGGGGACCAACUUAACCAAUUUAAGAGAACAAACUUUCCAAGCACUUUAGGCAGGUACCAGUUGUUUGCAAACAAUGUGCUAAUAUGCCAGUGACUUGUCCAUUAAAGGAGGCCCAUAGGGCCUCUUACUGGCGAUCCUUUGCUUUGAGUUACAGUAUAUAUGUGAAUGGUAGAAAGUGGCAUCUUUCUAGGGUUAAUGCUAUUAGGGGUUUGGGGGGUUUGUAGUUCCCAUGCUAGUUCUCUUGCAUACCUACUCUCUCUCUCAACCCAUUCUCCCCUCUGUCCCCCCACUCCCUUGACCGAGCGGGAUAGAUGGAUCCUGGAAUGUGAUUUCCCAGAACCCCUGCCCAGGCGGUCUGAAAACCUUCCCCAGCCAGCCUGGUCCAGGCAGGGACUCCCUGGGUCCCGGCCGUGCAGGUGCCGGGAGGGUGGGACGUGGUGUGCACACCUGCGCACAGGUGAGUGGGCGCCCUUUCUGCCCUGUCCCCAUGGGGCCCCGGGGCCCUUGGGGUUCAGCACUGCUCAACAGUGGAGGGAGGUAUCUCAACUGCUUGUCCCAGAUGUGCCUUUAGUGUCAUGUAAGAAGUUUUUAAGUUAUAUUUAUUUUGUCGGGUUUUUUUAAUUGCACAAAACACUAAGUCUGAGAGGCUGGAUUCUGUUCCUCCUUUAAAGCUUUGCCUUCUUUCUGAACUUCCUUUCCCACCCAAUGGAAAGAGCCGGAUGCAGCCCUGGCCAUCCUCCCACCCUACCCCACCACCCUCCUCCAUGGACUCUUUCCACGCUUCGCUGUAUUUAGCUUUGAGUUUCUCUGCGUCUGGUCAACCCCCAUGUGUAUAUAACCCAGGCCGUUGCUUGGGAAGAAGCAGGGUGCUCACCCCCUGCCAGUGCCUUUUUCUGGAGGAGAGAACUCCCCUGAGCAUCCUCCUUCCUCCUGCACCCCUCUCCCCGCCACACCUUUGGAGAAAACGGAGCUGUUACAAACCCCCGCACAGUGCCUGGCAAACAGACUGCAGAUGCUCUGUACCUUCCUAAAUAAAGGCCCUGGAGACCACGGUG